UACGUAGGUGGCAAGCGUUGUCCGGAAUUACUGGGCGUAAAGGGUGCGCAGGCGGACAUUUAAGUGAGAUGUGAAAGACCCGGGCUUAACUUGGGCAGUGCAUUUCAAACUGGAUGUCUGGAGUGCAGGAGAGGAGAACGGAAUUCCUAGUGUAGAGGUGAAAUGCGUAGAGAUUAGGAAGAACACCAGUGGCGAAGGCGGUUCUCUGGACUGUAACUGACGCUGAGGCACGAAAGCGUGGGUAGCAAACAGGAUUAGAUACCCUGGUAGUCCACGCCGUAAACGAUGAGUACUAGGUGUAGGAGGUAUCGACCCCUUCUGUGCCGCAGUAAACACAAUAAGUACUCCGCCUGGGAAGUACGAUCGCAAGAUUAAA
rnacentral:rRNA from 1 species